GGACAAUGGGCGAAAGCCUGAUCCAGCCAUGCCGCGUGUGUGAAGAAGGUCUUCGGAUUGUAAAGCACUUUAAGUUGGGAGGAAGGGUUGUAGAUUAAUACUCUGCAAUUUUGACGUUACCGACAGAAUAAGCACCGGCUAACUCUGUGCCAGCAGCCGCGGUAAUACAGGGUGCAAGCGUUAAUCGGAAUUACUGGGCGUAAAGCGCGCGUAGGUGGUUCGUUAAGUUGGAUGUGAAAUCCCCGGGCUCAACCUGGGAACUGCAUCCAAAACUGGCGAGCUAGAGUAUGGGAGGGUGGUGGAAUUUCCUGUGUAGCGGUGAAAUGCGUAGAUAUAGGAAGGAACACCAGUGGCGAAGGCGACCACCUGGACUGAUACUGACACUGAGGUGCGAAAGCGUGGGGAGCAAACAGGAUUAGACCGGUAGUCCACGCCGUAAACGAUGUCAACUAGCCGUUGGGAGCCUUGAGCUCUUAGUGGCGCAGCUAACGCAUUAAGUUGACCGCCUGGGGAGUACGGCCGCAAGGUUAAAACUCAAAUGAAUUGACGGGGGCCCGCACAAGCGGUGGAGCAUGUGGUUUAAUUCGAAGCAACGCGAAGAACCUUACCAGGCCUUGACAUCCAAUGAACUUUCCAGAGAUGGAUUGGUGCCUUCGGGAACA
rnacentral:rRNA from 1 species